CGGACGGGUGAGUAACACGUGGAUAACCUACCUAUAAGACUGGGAUAACUUCGGGAAACCGGAGCUAAUACCGGAUAAUAUAUUGAACCGCAUGGUUCAAUAGUGAAAGACGGUUUUGCCGUCACUUAUAGAUGGAUCCGCGCCGCAUUAGCUAGUUGGUAAGGUAACGGCUUACCAAGGCAACGAUGCGUAGCCGACCUGAGAGGGUGAUCGGCCACACUGGAACUGAGACACGGUCCAG
rnacentral:rRNA from 1 species